UGGCCAACGAGACAGGGCUUACAGACCUGACACUGGAGACCGUCUGGAAUGUCUAUGACACACUCUUCUGUGAGGUGAGCCCACUAGGGUGCCCACUGUGAUCAUUCUUUUCCCUCUCAGCAGGCCCAGGUCACCAGGACGGUAGAACACAGUGCCUGAUACCGUCACGCCCCUGGGGAGGUCCAGGGAGGCUGUGCUUGUGAAACACGGGAACUUCCCUCAUGGGUGACAGAGAUCCUCAGAGUGGGAAAUGGUUUAUUAAUUGUCAGCAGUCCCUGCUGCUCUCCACCCAGAGCUCCUUUCUGCUGAGUCUCACUUUUUGUGCCUGAGCUUCCUUUCCUGUGCCCUGAAGCAUCCACACCGCCUGCCAUGUCUACUGGUUCCAGCCCCUCUGCCUCUCUCCCCUCUCCCUCCCUCACACACACAGGCACCUUCCCACUAGGGAAGAGAGCUGCCCCCUGGAGAGGCUGGCCUAGGCCUGGGGCGCUAACCUGCCUGCUGCGAUACACAGCAAACGCACGGGCUGCGCCUGCCGCCCUGGGCCUCACCCCAAACCAUGCAGCGUCUCAGCCGGCUAAAGGACUUCAGCUUCCGCUUCCUCUUCGGAAUCUACCAGCAGGCGGAGAAGGCCCGGCUUCAGGGGGGAGUCCUGCUGGCUCAGAUAAGGAAGAACCUGACCCUAAUGGCGACCACCUCCCAGCUCCCCAAGCUGCUGGUUUACUCUGCG
rnacentral:sRNA from 1 species